CUGUUCGGAGUAUUCUGAGUGGCUAAGCGAAAGUGAUAAGUAACCCACCUGGGGAGUACGUUCGCAAGAAUGAAACUCAAAGGAAUUGACGGGGGCCCGCACAAGCGGUGGAGCAUGUGGUUUAAUUCGAUGAUACGCGAGGAACCUUACCAGGGCUUAAAUGUAGUUUGACAGGGCUGGAAACAGCUUUUCCUUCGGGCAGAUUACAAGGUGCUGCAUGGUUGUCGUCAGCUCGUGCCGUGAGGUGUCAGGUUAAGUCCUAUAACGAGCGCAACCCCUGUGGUUAGUUGCCAGCGAUUAAAGUCGGGAACUCUAACCAGACUGCCAGUGCAAACUGUGAGGAAGGUGGGGAUGACGUCAAAUCAUCACGGCCCUUACGUCCUGGGCCACACACGUGCUACAAUGGUAGGGACAGAGAGCAGCCACUGGGCGACCAGGAGCGAAUCUACAAACCCUAUCUCAGUUCGGAUCGGAGUCUGCAACCCGACUGCGUGAAGCUGGAAUCGCUAGUAAUCGCAUAUCAGCCAUGAUGCGGUGAAUAUGUUCCCGGGCCUUGUACACACCGCCC
rnacentral:rRNA from 1 species